GAGUCGAACAAAUCAGCCCACCACUGUGGCCGAUAACCAAAUACAGACACAUGACCGGACAUUGAGUUGAUGUCCAACAACACCUGCAAAAUACAGAGGAAAGUUUGAUUUAAAAAGAUUUGUGCUGACAGGUCACCACCCUUGAGAAGCUUCCCCUGGCCAUCCUCCUUGCAGUCCCCACAUCCCAGAAUAUAAGCUGCUGGAGAUGAGGAACUCCGUCUGGUCCUAGGUGCUGCUGGAUUCUUAGCGCCUAGAAAAGAGGCCGGAACGCUUAAGCAAACCUUUGUUGACUCCAUGAGUGAACCUGGUUGUGUUACAUUAACAGAUGAGUAGACUGGGGCCCAGGAGUGUUAAGCAUCUUCCUCAGGGUCCCACAGGUAGCUGGCGGCAGAGCUGGGACCAAAAGUAAGGCACCUGACCCUUCGUGUGCUCGAGCUCGCGGACUCUUGGUGGAAAAUCCUGAUAUUCGUAUUCUCGAUGCUUGGCAAUUACGUGGACACUGGCAUGCGUGUGGGAACACACCAAGGUGUCGAAACUGCAGCCCUGUCACACUCCCCAGUCUCGCCACCCGGGAAAGCAAUUAACAUCGAGAAUUUUCUGAAGCGCUCGCAGUUUCACCUCCGCAAGAGAGUUAGGGAAAUUUCCUCUCCCACAAAUGACAUUAGCAAUUUAGAAAAUGAUUUAAAAACAAGAGGGCUUUCACAAUAUUGCCAAUAACAGUUAGCAAACCUCAUUAAGGAGACGGUCUGAUGUGGAAAUCACUACAAUUCUAUUUCACAGCAAAAUACUGUAAUUAAGCCGUUGUGUGUCUGUGUUAUUUAGCAAAUGAAUAAUUACACUAUGCCCUUGAGACUUGCUGCUACUUUGGAGCACCGGGCUAAUACCCUUUCAGUCUCGUCUGGAACUCACUCUAAUGUGCGAUAUGUUCUGAGCCACGCUCAGGGCAAGUGACUGCUUUAUACAAGGAGAUAUUAGAGCCACCGCAAAAGUAGUCAGUGCGCUACAGGCCAUAAGACACCAAGGACGGCUGAUGUACGCUUAGACUGCAUUCGAUUUGGAAAAACAGAGAGUUGUUAACUCACCCAGUGGGCACUGAGCAUUUUGCAGGCAGUCAGUUUCUCUUCCUGACACUAGAAAUAUAAGGGCGGCAACAGCCCCUGAUACUGGUGAACCAUUGUCUGUUUAGAGGGGCAUCCAUCUAUAAAAUCACAGACUCGGAUUGGAACAAUGACAAUAUCACAAUCUAUGGCUUGUCCAACUUACGCCCUUCCCCCAAUCCAAAAUGACCUUGCCAAAGAGACAUUUGAUAUCCUGGAUCCAGCCAAAGAAAAACAGAGUCAAACCCUCUGUUAUCUUUGCAGCUGCCCAAGGUUCAUUGAUGUCUUUUGCUACAGCCUGGAAAACCCUAAGGUCGGAAGGAGUUCAGCUUGCUUCCGGUUAACGUUAGUUACCAUCAGUGUUAGGAUGUGCUUUUAAAUGGAGAAGCAACGUUAAGAUCUAGAACUGUGCGCAAUAAUUUUCUGUGGUUUACAAGCCAUCCAGUUGAUGGUAUGCCAUUAGAGCACCCCAAGAGGACUCAGACAGACAUGCACCAUCACACA